rnacentral:rRNA from 1 species
AGAGUUUGAUCCUGGCUCAGGAUGAACGCUGGCGGCGUGCUUAACACAUGCAAGUCGAGCGAAGCACUUAUCAUUGACUCUUCGGGGGAUUUGAUAUUUGACUGAGCGGCGGACGGGUGAGUAACGCGUGGGUAACCUGCCUCAUACAGGGGAAUAACAGUUAGAAAUGGCUGCUAAUGCCGCAUAAGCGCACAGGACCGCAUGGUCUGGUGUGAAAAACUGAGGUGGUAUGAGAUGGACCCGCGUCUGAUUAGGUAGUUGGUGGGGUAACGGCCUACCAAGCCGACGAUCAGUAGCCGGCCUGAGAGGGUGAACGGCCACAUUGGGACUGAGACACGGCCCAGACUCCUACGGGAGGCAGCAGUGGGGAAUAUUGCACAAUGGGGGAAACCCUGAUGCAGCGACGCCGCGUGAAGGAAGAAGUAUCUCGGUAUGUAAACUUCUAUCAGCAGGGAAGAAAAUGACGGUACCUGACUAAGAAGCCCCGGCUAACUACGUGCCAGCAGCCGCGGUAAUACGUAGGGGGCAAGCGUUAUCCGGAUUUACUGGGUGUAAAGGGAGCGUAGACGGAAGAGCAAGUCUGAUGUGAAAGGCUGGGGCUUAACCCCAGGACUGCAUUGGAAACUGUUUUUCUAGAGUGCCGGAGAGGUAAGCGGAAUUCCUAGUGUAGCGGUGAAAUGCGUAGAUAUUAGGAGGAACACCAGUGGCGAAGGCGGCUUACUGGACGGUAACUGACGUUGAGGCUCGAAAGCGUGGGGAGCGAACAGGAUUAGAUACCCUGGUAGUCCACGCCGUAAACGAUGA